rnacentral:rRNA from 1 species
GGUUAAGCGACUAAGCGUACACGGUGGAUGCCCUGGCAGUCAGAGGCGAUGAAGGACGUGCUAAUCUGCGAAAAGCGUCGGUAAGGUGAUAUGAACCGUUAUAACCGGCGAUGUCCGAAUGGGGAAACCCAGUGCAAUUCGUUGCACUAUCGUUAACUGAAUACAUAGGUUAACGAGGCGAACCGGGGGAACUGAAACAUCUAAGUACCCCGAGGAAAAGAAAUCAACCGAGAUUCCCCCAGUAGCGGCGAGCGAACGGGGAGCAGCCCAGAGUCUGAAUCAGCUUGUGUGUUAGUGGAACGGUCUGGAAAGUCCGACGGUACAGGGUGAUAGUCCCGUACACCAAAAUGCACAGGUUGUGAACUCGAAGAGUAGGGCGGGACACGUGGUAUCCUGUCUGAAUAUGGGGGGACCAUCCUCCAAGGCUAAAUACUCCUGACUGACCGAUAGUGAACCAGUACCGUGAGGGAAAGGCGAAAAGAACCCCGGCGAGGGGAGUGAAAAAGAACCUGAAACCGUGUACGUACAAGCAGUGGGAGCACCUUCGGGUGUGACUGCGUACCUUUUGUAUAAUGGGUCAGCGACUUAUAUUCUGUAGCAAGGUUAACCGUAUAGGGGAGCCGCAGGGAAACCGAGUCUUAACUGGGCGUUAAGUUGCAGGGUAUAGACCCGAAACCCGGUGAUCUAGCCAUGGGCAGGUUGAAGGUUGGGUAACACUAACUGGAGGACCGAACCGACUAAUGUUGAAAAAUUAGCGGAUGACUUGUGGCUGGGGGUGAAAGGCCAAUCAAACCGGGAGAUAGCUGGUUCUCCCCGAAAGCUAUUUAGGUAGCGCCUCGUGAACUCAUCUUCGGGGGUAGAGCACUGUUUCGGCUAGGGGGUCAUCCCGACUUACCAACCCGAUGCAAACUACGAAUACCGAAGAAUGUUAUCACGGGAGACACACGGCGGGUGCUAACGUCCGUCGUGAAGAGGGAAACAACCCAGACCGCCAGCUAAGGUCCCAAAGUCAUGGUUAAGUGGGAAACGAUGUGGGAAGGCACAGACAGCCAGGAUGUUGGCUUAGAAGCAGCCAUCAUUUAAAGAAAGCGUAAUAACUCACUGGUCGAGUCGGCCUGCGCGGAAGAUGUAACGGGGCUAAACCAUGCACCGAAGCUGCGGCAGCGACACUAUGUGUUGUUGGGUAGGGGAGCGUUCUGUAAGCCUGCGAAGGUGUGCUGUGAGGCAUGCUGGAGGUAUCAGAAGUGCGAAUGCUGACAUAAGUAACGAUAAAGCGGGUGAAAAGCCCGCUCGCCGGAAGACCAAGGGUUCCUGUCCAACGUUAAUCGGGGCAGGGUGAGUCGACCCCUAAGGCGAGGCCGAAAGGCGUAGUCGAUGGGAAACAGGUUAAUAUUCCUGUACUUGGUGUUACUGCGAAGGGGGGACGGAGAAGGCUAUGUUAGCCGGGCGACGGUUGUCCCGGUUUAAGCAUGUAGGCUGAUUGUCCAGGCAAAUCCGGAUAAUCAAGGCUGAGGUGUGAUGACGAGGCACUACGGUGCUGAAGUAACAAAUGCCCUGCUUCCAGGAAAAGCCUCUAAGCAUCAGGUAACAUUAAAUCGUACCCCAAACCGACACAGGUGGUCAGGUAGAGAAUACCAAGGCGCUUGAGAGAACUCGGGUGAAGGAACUAGGCAAAAUGGUGCCGUAACUUCGGGAGAAGGCACGCUGGUGUGUAGGUGAAGUCCCUGCGGAUGGAGCUGAGACCAGUCGAAGAUACCAGCUGGCUGCAACUGUUUAUUAAAAACACAGCACUGUGCAAACACGAAAGUGGACGUAUACGGUGUGACGCCUGCCCGGUGCCGGAAGGUUAAUUGAUGGGGUUAUCCGUAAGGAGAAGCUCUUGAUCGAAGCCCCGGUAAACGGCGGCCGUAACUAUAACGGUCCUAAGGUAGCGAAAUUCCUUGUCGGGUAAGUUCCGACCUGCACGAAUGGCGUAAUGAUGGCCAGGCUGUCUCCACCCGAGACUCAGUGAAAUUGAACUCGCUGUGAAGAUGCAGUGUACCCGCGGCAAGACGGAAAGACCCCGUGAACCUUUACUAUAGCUUGACACUGAACAUUGAGCCUUGAUGUGUAGGAUAGGUGGGAGGCUUUGAAGCGUGGACGCCAGUCUGCGUGGAGCCAACCUUGAAAUACCACCCUUUAAUGUUUGAUGUUCUAACGUUGGCCCCUGACCGGGGUUGCGGACAGUGUCUGGUGGGUAGUUUGACUGGGGCGGUCUCCUCCCAAAGCGUAACGGAGGAGCACGAAGGUUAGCUAAUCCUGGUCGGACAUCAGGAGGUUAGUGCAAUGGCAUAAGCUAGCUUGACUGCGAGCGUGACGGCGCGAGCAGGUGCGAAAGCAGGUCAUAGUGAUCCGGUGGUUCUGAAUGGAAGGGCCAUCGCUCAACGGAUAAAAGGUACUCCGGGGAUAACAGGCUGAUACCGCCCAAGAGUUCAUAUCGACGGCGGUGUUUGGCACCUCGAUGUCGGCUCAUCACAUCCUGGGGCUGAAGUAGGUCCCAAGGGUAUGGCUGUUCGCCAUUUAAAGUGGUACGCGAGCUGGGUUUAGAACGUCGUGAGACAGUUCGGUCCCUAUCUGCCGUGGGCGCUGGAGAAUUGAGGGGGGCUGCUCCUAGUACGAGAGGACCGGAGUGGACGCAUCACUGGUGUUCGGGUUGUCAUGCCAAUGGCACUGCCCGGUAGCUAAAUGCGGAAGAGAUAAGUGCUGAAAGCAUCUAAGCACGAAACUUGCCCCGAGAUGAGUUCUCCCUGAGACUUUAAGUCUCCUGAAGGAACGUUAAAGACGAUGACGUUGAUAGGCCGGGUGUGUAAGCGCAGCGAUGCGUUGAGCUAACCGGUACUAAUGAACCGUGAGGCUUAACCUU